UACGUAGGUGGCAAGCGUUGUCCGGAUUUACUGGGCGUAAAGAGCGCGCAGGCGGUCGAUUUAGUCGCGUGUGAAAGCCCCCGGCUCAACUGGGGAGGGUCACGCGAUACUGAUCGACUCGAAGGCAGGAGAGGGUAGUGGAAUUCCCGGUGUAGUGGUGAAAUGCGUAGAUAUCGGGAGGAACACCAGUGGCGAAGGCGGCAUCCUGGACCGGUAUUGACGCUGAGGCGCGAAAGCCAGGGGAGCAAACGGG
rnacentral:rRNA from 1 species